rnacentral:rRNA from 1 species
AAGUUCCAUUAAGGGCACAUGGUGGAUGCCUUGACUGAAUGAAGCGAUGAAAGACGUGGUCUGGCUGCGAUAUGCUUCGGGGAGGUGCCAAACAACCUUCGAUCCGGAGAUCUCUGAAUGGGGGAACCCCAUCGAGCAACACUCGAUGACCUCGUGCUUGACACGAGGGGUAUACCUGGGGAACUGAAACAUCUAAGUACCCAGAGGAAUAGAAACCAAUAGGAAUUUCCUGAGUAGCGGCGAGCGAAACGGAAGAAGCCCAAACCUUACUGCUUGCAGUAGGGGGUUGUAAGGCGUUAGUGCUGCAUUUAUGUAGGAAGAGUUACAAAAUAUGUUAUUAGAGGAACAACCUGGGAAGGUUGACCCCAGAGGGUAAUAGUCCCGUACUCGAAAAUAACAUGUCUCUUUAGCUAGCGUUCUUGAGUAGCUCGGGACACGAAUAGCCCGAGUGAAUCUGCCAGAACUAACUGGUAAGGCUAAAUAUUCAUUCAGAUCGAUAGUGAACAAGUACCGUGAGGGAAAGGUGAAAAGAACCCCGGUUAGGGGAGUGAAAUAGAACUGAAACCGUGUGUCUACAAGGAGUCGAAGAGGUCUUGCACCUCGACGGCGUGCCUAUUGAAGAAUGAGCCAACGAGUUUAUGUAUAUGGCUGGCUAAGCCCUUGUCGGGUGGAGUCACAGCGAAAGCGAGUAUGAAUAGUGCGAACUAAUAGUCGUAUACAUAAGACCCGAAAUCAGGUGAGCUUACCAUGAGCAGGGUGAAGGAGUUCGAAAGAUCUCUGGAGGCCCGAACCGGUGCAUCGUAUAACGUGCUCGGAUGACUUGUGGUAAGGAGUGAAAAGCUAAUCGAACUUGGUAAUAGCUGGUUCUCUCCGAAACAGCUUUAGGGUUGGCGUCACGUGUUCCUACUGGGGGUAGAGCACUGGAAGGUGUGAACAGGGCGAAAGCUCGUCACUCCUAUCAAACUCCGAAUACCAGUAAUUAAUAGCGUGGCAGUUAGAGUCAGGGGGCGAAGCUCCUGCGCUCGAAAGGGAAACAGCCCAGAUCGCCAGUUAAGGUCCCUAAAUUGAUACUCAGUACAAACGAGGAGGUGAGGUUUCUCCGACAGUGAGGAGGUUGGCUUAGAAGCAGCCACCCUUUAAAGAUAGCGUAACAGCUCACUCACUCAGAGACCUUGCGCCGAAGAUGAUCGGGGUUAAGUAUCAUACCGAAACUGCGGGCUUGUGGAUUUCAUUCGGGAUAUGUUCGCAUAUCUCGAAUGAAGUCCAUGAGCGGUAGGAGAGCGUUCCAUUCGCGAUGAAGCCAAAGGGGUGACCCAUGGUGGAGCAUAUGGAAGUGAAAAUGUUGGCACGAGUAACCGCAUUGUGGGUGAGAUUCCCACACGUCGAAAUACCGAGGUUUCCUGGGCUAUGAAGAUCAGCUCAGGGUUAGUCGGGCCUAAGCCGAUCCCGAGCGGGGGAGGCGAUGGACAUACGGUUAAUAUUCCGUAACCUGCGCACUGUGCGAUGGAGUGACGGGGGAAACAAGUACAAGCAUCUUAUUGGAUUGGUGUUUUUUGUUCUAAGAGAGGAUACAUAGGCAAAUCCGUGUAUCACAUACUUUCGAGAACCGAAGAAACUUCUGGGUACGCCCAGAGGGAUUUGUGCGAAGAGCCCUCCAAGAAAAGCUUCUAAGCUUCAACAGUGUGUAGACCGUACCGCAAACCAACACAGGUGGUAGAGUCGAGAAGACUAAGACGAACGGGUGAAAGUUCCUCAAGGAACUCGGCAAAAAAGCGACCGUAACUUCGGAAUAAGGUCUGCCUGCUGCCCUCGGGUAGUAGGCCGCAGCGAAAGAGUCCUGGCGACUGUUUACCAAAAACACAGCUCCCUGCGAACUCGUAAGAGGAUGUAUAGGGGGUGACGCCUGACCAAUGCCGGAAGGUUAAGCAUGGAUGGUGCACGAAGUUUACUUUGUGUGCUGGGCUAUGUAAGCCCCGGUGAAUGUCGGCCGUAACUAUAACGGUCCUAAGGUAGCGUAAUUCCUUGUCUAGUAAUUGUAGACGUGCACGAAUGGCGUAACGACUGGGACACUGUCUCGAGGAACUGCCCGGUGAAAAUGCAAUAGCGGUAAAGAUGCCGCUUACCUGCAGCAGGACGGAAAGACCCCAGGAGCUUUACUAUAGCUUGAUAUUGGGGGCGCGUGAUUAAUGCGUAGCAUAGAUGGGAGACUUUGAAGCAGUCCUUUUGGGGAUUGUGGAGUCGUCAGUGAAAUACCAUCCUUUACUCAUGCGUCUUCUAACCAGUACGGAAAAACCGUAUUGAGACAGUAUCUGGCAGGUAGUUUUAGUGGGGCGCUAUCCUCCUAAAAAGUAACGGAGGAGUUUAAAGGUUCUCUAGGCGCGGAUGGAAACCGUGCCGAUAGUGUAAUGGCAUAAGGGAGCUUAACUGCGAGACGUACAUGUCAAGCAGGCGCGAAAGCGGAACAUAGUGAACCGAUAGUUUGCUUUAGACGCAGCUAGAGAUUAACGGAUAAAAGUUACCCUGGGGAUAACAGGCUGGUACCGCCUAAGAGUCCAUAUCGCCGGCGGUGUUCGGCACCUCGAUGUCGGCUCACCUUAUCCUGGGGCUGAAGAAGGUCCCAAGGGUUUGGCUGUUCGCCAAUUAAAAAGGUACGCGAGCUGGGUUCAGACCGUUCAGAUGUGAAAGAUGUUCACGUUUGAACAGUCUGAAUCCCGAGGCUACACUUACCCAAAGUAAGAGUUAAAGACAUCAAUUCACGGCGGCACAAUGUAGAAAUAUAUUGUUGCUAACGUUGGCUAUAUCGGUAAAACCUAUAUCGUACAAAGCAUAGGCAAUACCGAGGGAAGUCGUCAUUGACCCCGUAGAGACUAAACGCCAACCACCCUCACUCGAAAGAGAAGGAUGAAGAUAUAGUCCAAUUCUAAUGACCAUGAGAAAGCGUGAGACAGGUUGGUCGUAAUCCGCUGCAGGCGUCGAUUU